AUUGAACGCUGGCGGCAUGCCUAACACAUGCAAGUCGAACGGGGCAGCAAUGCCUAGUGGCGGACGGGUGAGGAACACGUAGGAAUCUGCCCUUAAGUGGGGGAUAACCAGGGGAAACCCUGACUAAUACCGCAUGAUCUCUUCGGAGCAAAGAGGGGGACCGCAAGGCCUCUCGCUUCUGGAUGAGCCUACGGAUGAUUAGCGAUGUGGUAGGGUAAAGGCCUACCAAGCCCACGAUCAGUAACUGGUCUGAGAGGAUGAUCAGUCACACCGGAACUGAGACACGGUCCGGAAUCCUACGGGAGGCAGCAGUGGGGAAUAUUGGACAAUGGGCGCAAGCCUGAUCCAGCAAUGCCGCGUGUGUGAAGAAGGCCUUCGGGUUGUAAAGCACUUUAGCCUGGAAAGAAAAAACUUUGGUUAACACCCAAAGUCUUGACGGUACCAGGAGAAUAAGCACCGGCUAACUCUGUGCCAGCCGCCGCCGUAACAC
rnacentral:rRNA from 1 species